GUACUCAUCAUCGUCUUCCUUCCGUCAGCGUUGUAAUCUGAAGAACGCGGGCGGAGAUGGAGUUUUUUGGAAUGGAUUUCAGCUGUGUUUUCGGAUCUCUAAGCCACGGCAAGUUCCCAGAGAAAGAUUGCUUGCUUCCCCUCAUCUCUAAGCUCCUCGGCUAUUGCAUUGUUGCCGCUUCAACCACCGUCAAACUUCCUCAGAUAAUGAAGAUCUUGAAACAUCAGAGUGUCAGAGGACUUAGUGUUAUAUCCUUUGAGCUAGAAGUCGUCGGUUACACUAUUGCUCUGGCUUAUUGUGUCCACAAAGGGCUUCCAUU
rnacentral:misc_RNA from 1 species